GCAUUAAUGGGGUAGUGGUAACCUGGGUCGUUGCCAUUAUUUGGGAGUUCGACCCGCCGGGGGUUCGAUUCCCCCUUAAUGCA